UGGGGAAUUUUGGACAAUGGGCGAAAGCCUGAUCCAGCAAUGCCGCGUGUGUGAAGAAGGCCUUCGGUUGUAAAGCACUUUUGUCCGGAAAGAAAUCCUUGGCUCUAAUACAGUCGGGGGAUGACGGUACCGGAAGAAUAAGCACCGGCUAACUACGUGCCAGCAGCCGCGGUAAUACGUAGGGUGCAAGCGUUAAUCGGAAUUACUGGGCGUAAAGCGUGCGCAGGCGGUUUGCUAAGACCGAUGUGAAAUCCCCGGGCUCAACCUGGGAACUGCAUUGGUGACUGGCAGGCUAGAGUAUGGCAGAGGGGGGUAGAAUUCCACGUGUAGCAGUGAAAUGCGUAGAGAUGUGGAGGAAUACCGAUGGCGAAGGCAGCCCCCCUGGGCCAAUACUGACGCUCAUGCACGAAAGCGUGGGGAGCAAACAGGA
rnacentral:rRNA from 1 species